rnacentral:rRNA from 1 species
UACGUAGGGGGCGAGCGUUACCCGGAUUUACUGGGCGUAAAGCGCACGUAGGCGGACUGUUAAGUCGGGGGUGAAAUCCUGGGGCUCAACCUCAGAAUUGCCUCCGAUACUGGCAGUCUCGAGUGCGGGAGAGGUGAGUGGAAUUCCCAGUGUAGAGGUGAAAUUCGUAGAUAUUGGGAAGAACACCAGUGGCGAAGGCGGCUCACUGGCCCGUAACUGACGCUGAGGUGCGAAAGCGUGGGGAGCAAACAGG